UGAAUAUAGGUAAUUAUACAUGUUUAUUCAGUGUUCAAAUUAGGAUAUUUUUUUAUUAAAAUAUUCUUUUCCCUGUUCUACUAUAAUUUGUUUUUUUUACUCUAUUUCUCUCUUCUUUUAAGAAUGUACUUGUUUGAUUAAAUAAAGCUUCUUAGAGGAACAUUGUGUAUCUAACACAAGGAAGUUUA
rnacentral:rRNA from 1 species